rnacentral:rRNA from 1 species
UAGUCUCGCACAGAUGCAUAUCAAUAAGCGGAGGAAAAGAAACUAACAAGGAUUCCCCUAGUAACGGCGAGUGAAGCGGGAAGAGCUCAAAUUUGAAAUCUUAAAGGGUUUCCCUUUACGAAUUGUAGUUUAAAGAAGUGUUUUCUGUUGAGGUUUUGGUAAAAGUUCUUUGGAAUAGGACAUCAUAGAGGGUGAGAAUCCCGUAUUUGACCUUUACCUUUCAACUUUGUGAUACACUUUCAAAGAGUCGGAUUGUUUGGGAAUGCAGUCCAAAAUGGGUGGUAAAUUUCAUCUAAAGCUAAAUAUUGGCGAGAGACCGAUAGCGAACAAGUACCGUGAGGGAAAGAUGAAAAGAACUUUGAAAAGAGAGUUAAACAGUACGUGAAAUUGUCAAAAGGGAAGCGUUUGACACCAGUGUUGUUUUUCUGAAAAUCAAUUAAAGAACUGUUUAGUGCUAAGUUGUUUAGACUUUAUCAGCUAACUGUUUAGUUUUGAGCUUUUCUUUAAUGCACUUUUCAGUUAACAAGUCAACAUCAAUUUCUUUUGCUGUAAAAAAGCUUGAGGAAGGUGGCUUGAGAUUCGUCUUAAGUGUUUAUAGCCUCUUGCCUAUGCAGUCGGAGAGAUUGAGGUCUGCAGCGUAGAUCCUUCGGGGCUAAAUGCAUUUGCUGCUAAGUUAUAGCAUUUUAUAGACAACUUGUUGACUAUGAUUUGUCUUGUAGCUUACUCGCUUAUGUUAUUUUACCUACGCUUAGGAUGUUGACAGCAGUAUAGACUGU